CAAAUGACUCUCGGCAAUGGAUAUCUCGGCUCUUGCAUCGAUGAAGAACGUAGUGAAAUGCGAUACUUGGUGUGAAUUGCAGAAUCUCGUCAACCAUUGAGUCUUUGAACGCAAGUUGUGCCCGAGGCCUUCUGGCCAAGGGCACGCCUGCUUGGGCGU
rnacentral:rRNA from 1 species